UUUUCUGCCAACACGUAUGCAAGGACAAGUAAUAUACUUCCAAAAUUUUCAAAAAAAACUAUAGAAUUUAUAUUUUAACAAACUCAAUCAAAAUACUUAUUAUACUUUUUCGCUACACAUACGUCUGCACAUAUGUGCGUAAUAUUAUUUACAUACAUAAACAAUAUUUAUUUUGAUCAUCUUUUUCACUCCAUUAUCAUUUUCUAGCCCCAAUACCAAACAAAGCCAUUUUCUUUUCUCAAGCAGGUCAGC
rnacentral:lncRNA from 1 species